GAUGAAGAACGCAGCGAAAUGCGAUAAGUAGUGUGAAUUGCAGAUUUCAGUGAAUCAUCGAAUCUUUGAACGCACAUUGCGCCCUCUGGUAUUCCGGAGGGCAUGCCUGUUCGAGCGUCAUUAUCACCCCUCAAGCCCGGCUUGUUGUUGGAUGCAGCGCUUAUCCCGCUCCUCCCAAAGAUAAUGACGGCGUCUGCGACGACUCCUGUACACUGAGCUUUCGGGCACGUACACGGCUAGAAGUCCAGACCCGGUCGCCGUCCCCCCCGCGGGGGACACCCAUUACCACAAGGUUGACCUCGGAUCAGGUAGGAAUACCCGCUGAACUUAAGCAUAUCAAUAAGCGGAGGA
rnacentral:misc_RNA from 1 species